GAACCUGCGGAAGGAUCAUUAUC
rnacentral:rRNA from 25 species